rnacentral:tRNA from 1 species
UCCCUGGUGGCUCAGUGGUAAAGCAUCUGCCUGCAAUGCAGGAGGCAGGUUUGAUCCCUGGGAG